GGUCGGGAUAGCUCAG
rnacentral:tRNA from 6 species